rnacentral:tRNA from 1 species
GCAUCGAUGGCGACGACGCCGCUGCGCUCGAGGUGCAGCGGGUCGAGUUCGACGGUCACCACCUCGUCGAUGUC